AUUGAACGCUGGCGGCAGGCCUAACACAUGCAAGUCGAACGAGUGGCGGACGGGUGAGUAAUGUCUGGGAAACUGCCUGAUGGAGGGGGAUAACUACUGGAAACGGUAGCUAAUACCGCAUACCAUCGGAUGUGCCCAGAUUGGUUUAGCUAGUAGGUGGGGUAACGGCUCACCUAGGCGACGAUCCCUAGCUGGGCUGAGAGGAUGACAGGCCACACUGGAACUGCGACACGGUCCAGACUCCUACGGGAGGCAGCAGUGGGGAAUAUUGCACAAUGGGCGCAAGCCUGAUGCAGCAAUGCCGCGUGUAUGAAGAAGGCCUUCGGGUUGUAAAGUACUUUCAGCGGGGAGGCGGUACCAGAAGAAGAAGCACCGGCUAACUCCGUGCCAGCAGCCGCGGUAAUAG
rnacentral:rRNA from 1 species